GACGAACGCUGGCAGCGUGCUUAACACAUGCAAGUCGAACGGAAGGCCCUGCUUUUGUGGGGUGCUCGAGUGGCGAACGGGUGAGUAACACGUGAGUAACCUGCCCUUGACUUUGGGAUAACUUCAGGAAACUGGGGCUAAUACCGGAUAGGAGCUCCUGCUGCAUGGUGGGGGUUGGAAAGUUUCGGCGGUUGGGGAUGGACUCGCGGCUUAUCAGCUUGUUGGUGGGGUAGUGGCUUACCAAGGCUUUGACGGGUAGCCGGCCUGAGAGGGUGACCGGCCACAUUGGGACUGAGAUACGGCCCAGACUCCUACGGGAGGCAGCAGUGGGGAAUAUUGCACAAUGGGCGGAAGCCUGAUGCAGCAACGCCGCGUGCGGGAUGACGGCCUUCGGGUUGUAAACCGCUUUCGCCUGUGACGAAGCGUGAGUGACGGUAAUGGGUAAAGAAGCACCGGCUAACUACGUG
rnacentral:rRNA from 1 species